UACGUAGGGUGCAAGCGUUGUCCGGAAUUAUUGGGCGUAAAGAGCUCGUAGGCGGUCUGUCGCGUCUGCUGUGAAAACUCAGGGCUUAACCCUGAGCUUGCAGUGGGUACGGGCAGACUAGAGUGCGGUAGGGGAGACUGGAAUUCCUGGUGUAGCGGUGAAAUGCGCAGAUAUCAGGAGGAACACCGGUGGCGAAGGCGGGGUCUCUGGGCCGUAACUGACGCUGGAGGAGCGAAAGCCGUGGGGAGCGAACAGG
rnacentral:rRNA from 1 species